rnacentral:misc_RNA from 1 species
GCGCGUCGGGAACUCGACGAUGACAAGGAGGUUGGCCUCGCCUGCGAGGACCUUUGCUUCUCCGUGCCGCAAAAAUAAGGUUUUGCCAAGGAGCGAACCUGGAGUAUUAAGGAUCUCGUGUCCUUUUUACUCCUCGCCCGCUUCCAUCCUGGACCUCAG